rnacentral:rRNA from 1 species
GAUGAACGCUGGCGGCGUGCCUAAUACAUGCGAGUCGAGCGAACAGACGAGGAGCUUGCUCCUCUGACGUUAGCGGCGGACGGGUGAGUAACACGUGGAUAACCUACCUAUAAGACUGGGAUAACUUCGGGAAACCGGAGCUAAUACCGGAUAAUAUAUUGAACCGCAUGGUUCAAUAGUGAAAGACGGUUUUGCUGUCACUUAUAGAUGGAUCCGCGCCGCAUUAGCUAGUUGGUAAGGUAACGGCUUACCAAGGCAACGAUGCGUAGCCGACCUGAGAGGGUGAUCGGCCACACUGGAAAUGAGACACGGUCCAGACGUCUACGGGAGGCAGCAGGAAGGGAAUCUUCCGCAAUGGGCGAAAGCUUGACGGAGCAACGCCGCGUGAGUGAUGAAGGUCUUCGGAUCGUAAAACUCUGUUAUUAGGGAAGAACAAAUGUGUAAGUAACUAUGCACGUCUUGACGGUACCUAAUCAGAAAGCCACGGCUAACUACGUG